rnacentral:rRNA from 1 species
AGUCUGACGGAGCAACGCCGCGUGAACGAAGAAGGUUUUCGGAUCGUAAAGUUCUGUUGUUAGGGAAGAACAAGUACCGUUCRAAUAGGGCGGUACCUUGACGGUACCUAUCGAGGAAGCCCCGGCUAACUACGUGCCAGCAGCCGCGGUAAUACGUAGGGGGCAAGCGUUGUCCGGAAUUAUUGGGCGUAAAGCGCGCGUAGGCGGUUUCUUAAGUCUGAUGUGAAAUCUUGCGGCUCAACCGCAAGCGGCCAUUGGAAACUGAGGAACUUGAGUGCAGAAGAGGAGAGCGGAAUUCCACGUGUAGCGGUGAAAUGCGUAGAUAUGUGGAGGAACACCAGUGGCGAAGGCGGCUCUCUGGUCUGUAACUGACGCUGAGGUGCGAAAGCGUGGGGAGCGAACAGGAUUAGAUACCCUGGUAGUCCACGCCGUAAACGAUGAGUGCUAGGUGUUAGGGGGUUUCCGCCCCUUAGUGCUGCAGUUAACGCAUUAAGCACUCCGCCUGG